rnacentral:tRNA from 2 species
GAAAUAUGAAUGUUUCAAGAAAAAGCUUCUAACUUUAUUCUUUAGCGAAUAACACCCGUUAAUAUUUCU